GACCACUCCGGUAGCGUAGUGGUUAUAAGCGUCCGCCUCGGAUGCGGAAGUUUGCGGAUUCGAAUCCAGCCGAGUCA